UUCAUAACUAUUUUACGCAUUUCAUUAAGUCUUGUAGAAGUCAAUGAAUGCCAAUGAACAUGUAACCAAGAGAAUAGUCUAGCUAGCAGUUAUUUCGGAAUGGGAUUUCAAGUAUGAGGAUAGCUAUUCUUGGAGCCACUGGACAGACAGGGCAGUAUUUGGUGAAGCAGGCUAUCCAAAAAGGGUACGGUGUCACCGGCUCACCGCCGUGGUGCGGAACCCGGAGAAAGUGGCUUCGUCAUGAGAAGCUAAAGGUUACUACAGCCUCCUUGCAGGAUGACAUGACAUCAUGCCAAGUCGUUGUCGGGCACUGCUGCCGUUUUUCAGCUCUUUCUGCUGAUGGCCAUACAGUGUGCUCAGCAACAUGUAUGAGAUAGAGCACUUUUUAAAGUGCGUCCAUAAUAUCAACUGGACAGUCGUGCGUCCUCCAGGUCUACAGAAUGCACUGGCCACCGCAAAGGAGUUUCUUGACCCACGAGGGCUACUUUGUCCCAGACUGGGCACCCUAUUGGACGCCACGCUGUUGCCAGGGGCGAUGUUGCCCACUUCAUGCUGUCGAUGUUGGACACCAACUCCUGGAUACAGAGAGGAGUUGCUAUGACAACCAAGUAACUAUGUUAUUUAACUUAUGAUUGUGUGCUAUAUUAUGACAAAAAAUGGAUGUAACAAAUUAAAGAUUGAACACAUCUUUGAAUGGG